GCUGGCGGCAGGCCUAACACAUGCAAGUCGAGCGGUAACAUUUCUAGCUUGCUAGAAGAUGACGAGCCGCGGACGGGUGAGUAACGCGUAGAAAUCUACCUAGUAGUGGGGGAUAGGCCCAGAGAAAUUUGGAUUAAUACCGCAUACGCCCUACGGGGGAAAGCCGGGGGAUCGUUCGGACCUCGUGCUAUUAGAUGAGUCUGCGUCGGAUUAGCUUGUUGGUGAGGGUAAUGGCUCACCAAGGCGACGAUCCGUAGCUGGUCUGAGAGGAUGACCAGCCACACUGGAACUGAGACACGGUCCAGACUCCUACGGGAGGCAGCAGUGGGGAAUAUUGCACAAUGGGCGCAAGCCUGAUGCAGCCAUGCCGCGUGUGUGAAGAAGGCCUUAGGGUUGUAAAGCACUUUCAGCAGUGAGGAAAGGGGUGUCGUUAAUAGCGCCAUCCUGUGACGUUAACUGCAGAAGAAGGACCGGCUAACUCCGUG
rnacentral:rRNA from 1 species